CCUACGGGAGGCAGCAGUGGGGAAGUCUUGCGCAAUGGGCGAAAGCCUGACGCAGCCAUGCCGCGUGAAUGAUGAAGGUCUUAGGAUUGUAAAAUUCUUUCACCGGGGACGAUAAUGACGGUACCCGGAGAAGAAGCCCCGGCUAACUUCGUGCCAGCAGCCGCGGUAAUACGAAGGGGGCUAGCGUUGCUCGGAAUUACUGGGCGUAAAGGGAGCGUAGGCGGAUAGUUUAGUCAGAGGUGAAAGCCCAGGGCUCAACCUUGGAAUUGCCUUUGAUACUGGCUAUCUUGAGUAUGGGAGAGGUUAGCGGAACUCCGAGUGUAGAGGUGAAAUUCGUAGAUAUUCGGAAGAACACCAGUGGCGAAGGCGGCUAACUGGCCCAUUACUGACGCUGAGGCUCGAAAGCGUGGGGAGCAAACAGGAUUAGAUACCCGGGUAGUCCACGCCGUAAACGAUGAGUGCUAGUUGUCGGCAUNNANGCAUGUCGGUGACGCAGCUACGCAUAAGUACACUCCGCCGUCGGGAGGUACGGUCGCGAGAAUAAACUAACAAGAAGUUAGACGGCGNGAGACGUGACCGACGGACGACGACGAGGGAGGUAGG
rnacentral:rRNA from 1 species